rnacentral:rRNA from 1 species
UACGGAGGGUGCAAACGUUGCUCGGAAUCAUUGGGCGUAAAGCGCACGUAGGCGGCUCGUUAAGUCGGAUGUGAAAGCCCUCGGCUCAACCGAGGAAGUGCAUACGAAACUGGCGAGCUUGAAUAUGGAAGAGGGUCGCGGAAUUCCCGGUGUAGAGGUGAAAUGCGUAGAUAUCAAGUGGAACACCAGUGGCGAAGGCGAGUCUCUGGACAUUUCCUGACGCUGAGGCACGAAAGCCAGGGGAGCAAACGGG